ACUGCAAGCUCCGCCUCCCGGGUUCACGCCAUUCUCCUGCCUCAGCCUCCCGAGUAGCUGGGACUACAGCAGUCACAGAAAGGGAUGGCUGUAAGAACCCAACGCAGGCCAGGCUAGAGGCAGGAGUCAAGGCCGGCUGCCGUAGGGCUCAGGAUGUCCAUCCGACCGUGACCUCAGCACUCAUUGAUAAAAGGAGAGUAGGACCAUUCCCAGAGUCUUGCUCUGUCGCCCAGGCUGGAGUGCAGUGGCGCGAUCUCGGCUCACUACAACCUCUGCCUCCCAGGUUCAAGUGAUUCUCCUGCCUCAGCCUCCUGAGUAGCUGGGAUUACAGCUCUGGGACAAACCAGCUUCUAUGUCAUGAGCACACUCAGGCAGCUCAUUGGAGAGAUCUGCAUGGUAAAGCAAUGAGGCCUCCUGCCAGCAGCCAUGUGAGUGGCAUCUUGGAGCCAGACCCUCCAGCCCCAGUCAAGCCUUCGGAUGCCUGCAGCCCUGGCUGACAUUUUAACCACAACUUCAUGAGAGAUUCUGAGCCAGAAUCACCCAGCUAA
rnacentral:lncRNA from 10 species